rnacentral:lncRNA from 10 species
AAGCAUGACGCUGGCAUCUGCUCGGCUUCUGCAAAGGCCUCGUGUCACUUACAAUUGUGGCAGGAGGUGAAGGAGAAACACACACAUCACAUGUUUGGAAUAGGAGCAAGAGGGUGGGGGGAAGGUGCUACACACUUUCAUACAACAAGAUCUCAUGAUAACUCACUUGUACACCGUCAUGAGAACAGCACCAAGGAGAUGGUGCUAAACCAUUCAGGAAGGACCAACUUCAUGAUCCAAUCACCUCCCAUCAAGACCCACAACCAACACUGAGGAUUACCAUUUGACAUGAGAUUUGGGUGGGGACACAAAUCCAAACCCUAUCACUUGGUGAGUAUCAAGUAGUGGGAAUGCCACUGGAUGGGAUCUUGGUGGAUGAACGGUUACUUCCUCCAUAAGUUAGCCAUUCUCAAAGGUGCUCUAACUGUUACAGAAUCCUCAAGUACCCUUUUAACAAGCUUUCCCAAGUGGUCUCACGAUCCUAAAGCUUUAGGACCCAAUUAGCAGAAUUUAUCUUGGGCUGUGACUAUGCAGCUGG